rnacentral:rRNA from 1 species
CCUUCGGGCCUCUCGCGUCAGGAUAUGCCUAGGUGGGAUUAGCUAGUUGGUGAGGUAAGGGCUCACCAAGGCGACGAUCCCUAGCUGGUCUGAGAGGAUGAUCAGCCACACUGGAACUGAGACACGGUCCAGACUCCUACGGGAGGCAGCAGUGGGGAAUAUUGCACAAUGGGCGCAAGCCUGAUGCAGCCAUGCCGCGUGUGUGAAGAAGGCCUUCGGGUUGUAAAGCACUUUCAGUCGUGAGGAAGGCGGYGUMGUUAAUAGCKGCRUYGUUUGACGUUAGCGACAGAAGAAGCACCGGCUAACUCCGUGCCAGCAGCCGCGGUAAUACGGAGGGUGCGAGCGUUAAUCGGAAUUACUGGGCGUAAAGCGCAUGCAGGUGGUUUGUUAAGUCAGAUGUGAAAGCCCGGGGCUCAACCUCGGAAUWGCAUUUGAAACUGGCAGACUAGAGUACUGUAGAGGGGGGUAGAAUUUCAGGUGUAGCGGUGAAAUGCGUAGAGAUCUGAAGGAAUACCGGUGGC